GUCAUUGGAAAAAAAAAAAAAAAAAAGCAGGACAAAGCAAUGUCAGAAAUAAAAGACAGUAGAAAACAAAGUAAAACGUCAUAAAGAGGUUAAAAAACAAGGGGGCCAAACGCAUGCAGAGCAGGUUAGAGAUAAUGAAAACUGGAAUUCAAAAGACUCAAAAAAAAAAAAAAAAAAAAAACAUAGGCACGAUACACAUGCUGAGCAAGAUACAGAAUAUGAAAGCAGAAAAAAAUGACAGUGUCAAAACAAA